GAUGAAGAACGUAGCGAAAUGCGAUAAGUAAUGUGAAUUACAGAAUUCAGUGAAUCAUCGAAUCUUUGAACGCACCUUGCGCCCUUUGGCAUUCCGAAGGGCAUGCCUGUUUGAGUAUCAUGAACACCUCAACUCUUCAUGGUUUUCCAUGAUGAGCUUGGACUUUGGGGGUCUUGCUGGCCUGCGGUCGGCUCCUCUCAAAUGAAUCAGCUUACCAGUGUUUGGUGGGCAUCACAGGUGUGAUAACUAUCUGCGCUUGUGGUUUUCCACCAAGUAACCUUCAGCAGUGGAGGUUCACUGGAGCUCACAGACGUCUCUCCUCAGUGAGGACAGCCCUUUGAAUGUUUGAUCUCAAAUCAGGUAGGACUACCCGCUGAACUUAAGCAUAUCAAUAAGCGGAGGA
rnacentral:misc_RNA from 1 species